rnacentral:lncRNA from 1 species
CAGCAUAUGGAGGUUCCCAGGCUAGGGGUCAAAUCAGAGCUGUAGCCACCAGCCUACACCACAGCCACAGCAAUGCCAUAUCCAAGACUGGUCUGUGACCAACCAACACCACAGCUCAUGGCAAUGCCGGAUCUUUACCCCACUGAGCAAGGCCAGGGAUGGAACCUGCGUCCUCAUAGAUGCUGGUCAGAUUCAUUUCCACAGAGCCACGACGGGAACUCCAGAUCAUUUACAUAUGAUGCCCUCGUUGACAUGGCUGGGUGGGCUUCUAUUAUCCUGCUAUUUUCUCUGUCUGUCCCGCCUAUUUUUGUCUUCUUUCCCUGUUAUUACACUUCCUAUUUGAUUGAGUACUUGUUCAGGAUUUGGCUUCAUCUCCUUUUUGCCUUAUUAGCAAUAACUCCCUGUCUUGUUACUUCCGAGGUUGCUUUACAGUUUCUUGCAUAUGUCUUAAACUUGCCACAAUCUACUCUUCAUUGAUAUCAUAGUACUUCUCAUGCGGUAUAAGCAUCUAUAAAUGGGAUAGUUCUUUUCUACGUCUCUUCUUUCUGCGCUUCCACGGAGGCUCCAAGCCCCACACGCAUUGUCAUUGCUCCUGCUCUACAGCCAGUUAUCUUUCAAAGGGAUUUAAGUAGGAAGAAACGUCACGGAGGUUCUCACAUAGUUAUCUUUUCCAGGGCUUAUCAUGCCUUUAUCUAGAUCCUGAAUUCUAUCAGGUAUCACUUUAUUUCCGCCUCGAGAAUUUCCUUGAAACAUUUAUUGGAAGGUGGAUCUGUGGGUGAUGCAUUCUUUCCGCUUUUACGAACCUGCAAAAGCCAAUAUUUCACUUUUGUCUUUGACACAUAUUUUCGCUAGUGUUCUGUCANUAAAAAAUAAUGUUUAUUUUUUUCCAUUACAGCGGGUUUACAGUGUUCUGUCAAUUUUCUACUGUCCAGCAAGGUGACCCAGUCACAUAUACAUACAUGUUCUUUUUUUCUCACAUUAUCCUGCUCCAUCAUAAGCGACUAGCUCUAGCUCCCAGUGCUGGACAGCAGGAUCUCGUUGCUUAUCCAUUCCAAUAGCAAAAGUCUGCAUCUAUGAACCCCACCUUCCCAAUCCAUCCCACUCCCUCCCCCUCUCAAAUUAUUUCCGACAAGAAAUCUGCGGUCGCCCUUAUCUUUGUUCGUCUGAUAUAAUAUCUUUUAUUAUCCUCUGUCUGCUCUUAGGAUAUUCUUUAUCACUAGUUUUGACCUAUUUGAUUAUAACAUGAUGCUUUGGUGCAGCUUUCUCCAUGUUUCUUAUGCCUGGGGUUCCUUGAGCUUAUGAGAUCUUUUUUUAUCUGUUUUGGAAGAAUUGUGCUCAUCACUUAUUCAACUGUGUCUCCUUGAUUCCCCUCUUUCCUCGCUUCUGGGGACUCCAAUUACAUGUGCAUCACACACGUGUAUCAAACACACAAGGGCCAUUGCUGGUUUCAAACCUGACACACCAGCCAUGCACUUGGCCUUCCAGCCAAAGAAAGAAUCAGGGAAGGAGGCCUAGAUUGCUCCUUUGGCUAAACACAUUUUUUGCUGCUCUUUUCGGAACGUUGUUAACGCCCCCCUCCAGCCAGGACCCCCUCCACCUGUGCAGUCCAAGACGGCGGCCACCUGUUCACCUGAGAUACGCUGGGAGGUAAGACACACACCAGGUCCUGAAGCUCUUCUAUGAAAGUAAGAACAUUCAGUAUCUUGCUAAUUAUGUUUUAAUGUAGAUUACGUGUCAAGGGAAUAAUACCAGAUACAUUGGAUUAAAUUGAAUAUAGUUUCAAAAUUAACUCCACCUGUGUCAUUUUUAAAAAUAUAGCUAGUAGAGAAUUUAGUAUUUCUUUUUCUCAUUGUUCCUAUGGUUCCUUUUAACUUUUAUUUAUUUAUUUAUUUAUUUUAUUUUUUGCUUUUUAGGGCCGCCCCUGUGACCUAUGGAGGUUCCCAGGCUAGGGGUCCAAUUGGAGCUACAGCGGCCAGCCUACACCACAGCCACAGCAACACCAGAUCCUUAACCCACUGAGCGAGGCCAGGGAUUGAACCUGCAACCUCAUGGUUCCUAGUUGGAUU